GCCUGCGUCACUAGACGAGAUUCAGGUCUGGUUCGGGCGGGGUGGUGGUGGUGGUAGGGCGCGCGUUUUGCAUAUUAAAAUUGCGGACGUGAGCGCGUUCGAGGAAGCGGGUGCUUCGGUUCAUCUUUCCGCGGACGGAACGACCUGCGCGCCUUACCGAGUGUUAAACCAGAGCCGUUAUAAUGAGAAGCGGCAGAAUAAAACUAUUCAUUCGGUUGAAGUGGAAGCUUAACGAUAGGCUGGACAGACCUGGAGGAACUUUAUUUGAAGUUGUUCAGAAGCCACGUUUGCGUUACGCGACACCUUUGGGAACUGCGGUUAAGGCAUCUGGCUGGAAACCGGGGGGACCAGAUUGAAAAUACUGGUUCAGGUUGGUAGUUCCUGUUUCCAGAGGUGAAAAGCAGUGGCAGGGCGACUCGUGUGUAUGCUACCUGAUGCUCCAAUAUACUGGAUAUAUUGAUCAACUAGAGGUAGAAAUCAACCCCUUUAUGAAAAAUACAGGUAAUUCUCACUUAUCAAAGGUAAUUGGCACUGGGAAUUCCAUCACUAAGGGACGUGGUGGUAAGGCAUAAUAUCAUGUGACUGUUCUGGCAGUUCUGACCAUUCAUGUUGCCAUUGUUAAGCGAUUCCUGUGCAGUCCCAGUGCUCCUGGUCACACAAUUGCUCUUUGCAACCUAUUGCUGGCUUCACCAUUCACUGGUCGUCGGAAGCCAGCAGUGAAGGUUGCAAAUAGUGAUCAUGUCAGAAUGGUGCAACAUCAUAGUUAUGACCCAAUUGCCAAAUGGCCACAUUGCAAUUACAUGACUCUGGGAAUGCUGGGAUGACCACAACUACAAGGACCUGUGAUCAAGUACCCUUUGUUCAGUGCCGUCAUAACUUUGAACAGUUGCUGAAUGAAUGGACAUUAAACAAGGGCUACAUAUAACACGUGUUUUCUCACACUCUGAUAUAUUCAGGCAAUCUAGUCAUAUUACAAAAUUGAUUGGCAAUAUACUUAUCUAAAAUGUAAGUGGCCUCUAUGUAGUCUAGAUUUUGCCUUUAAGGAUAGACUGGUUACUUUGAUUUUCAUAAUCAUCAAGAAAGAAAAUAUUGCAAUCUUCUUUUUCCUUACUACCUCUUUUACUGCUUUCGGUGUCAUAAUAUCAUGUCUUGGAGAUAAGGUGGGAUUAAAGCAAGUUUUCCCCCAA